CCCUACGGGGCGCAGCAGGCGCGAAAACUUUACAAUGCGGGAAACCGUGGUAAGGGAACUCCGAGUGUCCGUAAAUGCGGACUGUCCGUAUGUUUAAAAAGCAUGCGAAGAAAGGGCCGGGCAAGACCGGUGCCAGCCGCCGCGGUAAUACCGGCGGCUCGAGUGGCGGCCACUAUUACUGGGCUUAUAGCGUUCGUAGCUGGGUUGUUAAGUCUCUUGGGAAAUCUACCGGCUUAACCGAUAGGCGUCCAAGGGAUACUGGCAAUCUAGGGACCGGGAGAGGUGAGGGGUACUUCAGGGGUAGGAGUGAAAUCCUGUAAUCC
rnacentral:rRNA from 1 species